rnacentral:rRNA from 1 species
CGAAUGCUGACAUAAGUAACGAUAAAGCGGGUGAAAAGCCCGCUCGCCGGAAGACCAAGGGUUCCUGUCCAACGUUAAUCGGGGCAGGGUGAGUCGACCCCUAAGGCGAGGCCGAAAGGCGUAGUCGAUGGGAAACAGGUUAAUAUUCCUGUACUUGGUGUUACUGCGAAGGGGGGACGGAGAAGGCUAUGUUGGCCGGGCGACGGUUGUCCCGGUUUAAGCGUGUAGGCUGGUUUUCCAGGCAAAUCCGGAAAAUCAAGGCUGAGGCGUGAUGACGAGGCACUACGGUGCUGAAGCAACAAAUGCCCUGCUUCCAGGAAAAGCCUCUAAGCAUCAGGUAACAUCAAAUCGUACCCCAAACCGACACAGGUGGUCAGGUAGAGAAUACCAAGGCGCUUGAGAGAACUCGGGUGAAGGAACUAGGCAAAAUGGUGCCGUAACUUCGGGAGAAGGCACGCUGAUAUGUAGGUGAAGUCCCUCGCGGAUGGAGCUGAAAUCAGUCGAAGAUACCAGCUGGCUGCAACUGUUUAUUAAAAACACAGCACUGUGCAAACACGAAAGUGGACGUAUACGGUGUGACGCCUGCCCGGUGCCGGAAGGUUAAUUGAUGGGGUCAGCGCAAGCGA